rnacentral:rRNA from 1 species
UUUAACAAAAACAUGUCCUUUUGAAUAUAAUUUAAGGUCUAAUCUGCCCACUGAGAAGUUAAAUGGCCGCAGUAUUUUGACUGUGCAAAGGUAGCAUAAUAAUUAGUUUCUUAAUUAGAAGCUGGAAUGAAAGAUUGAAUGAGAAAAUAACUGUCUCAAAUUAAUUUAAUUAGAAUUUUAUUUUUAAGUUAAAAAGCUUAAAUGAUAUUAAAAGACGAGAAGACCCUAUAGAGUUUUAUUUAAUUUAUUAAUAAAGAAAAAUUGAUUAAAAAUUUUUUAUUAAUAAAUUAAAUUUUGUUGGGGUGACAGAAAAAUUUAAUUAACUUUUUUUAUAUAAAAACAUUAAUUAAUGAAUAAUUGAUCCAAAAAUUUUGAUUAUAAGAUAAAAUUACCUUAGGGAUAACAGCGUAAUUUUUUUUGAGAGUUCUAAUCGAAAAAAAAGAUUGCGACCUCGAUGUUGGAUUAAAGUUUAAUUUUGGUGUAGAAGCUAAAAAUAUUAGGUCUGUUCGACCUUUAAAACUUUACAUGAUCUGAGUUAGACC